CUGCAUGGAGCGCUGAGGUGCACGUCCUGGCCCUCGUCUGCUCCCCCCACCCCCCAGACCCUGCCUCGGAAGUGGGGGAGCCUAGGGGGGUGAGAGCUCAGCCGGCCUCGGGGCAACACCCAUAAAGACCAGCGUCCUUAUGCACCCAGGGGUUGAGAGCCCCAACUCUGGAGCCUGUCCGCCUGGGUCUCCAUAUCCGCCAUUCACCGCGGUGUGAUCUUCAGAUUCCAGUUUCCUCAUCUGUAACAGAGAUGUAAGGCUUGCAUGACAACCUAGGUAAAGCCCUUAAACGGGGCCGCCCCUGGUAAGCACCAUUUGAGUAUGAGUUCAUAAUUGGUGACACUAUUUGCUGGGCUCUUGUUCUGUACCAGGCAGGGUGCUAAGCCUUGAGCAGAAGUCGGCUUGGUUAACCCUCUCAAGCAGAAGUUCAGUCAUCCCCCCAUUGUAUGGAUGAGGAGGUUGAGGCACAGAGAAACUAAGUCGCAUGGCCAGCGUCAUCCCGGGAAGUGACGGAGCCUGGAUUCCAACUAAGGCACAGGCUCUCGGCCUCUGUACAGCCCGAAUCACCCUGAGACCCAGGGGGACCUCUGAUUUGGGAGAAGGGAAGACAACAGAAGGAUUUAUCCAGACACAGUGCUUGAACCAGAAGCUUCUGCCUGGAACCCCAUCCCCACCUCCCUCUUCCAGUCCUUCCCCUUCCUGCCUCCACUAUUCUGAGAUAGCAAGUCAUAACCAAGGGCAACCACAGAGUGCUCCUGAAGUCUCAGAAGGCUUAGUGAGACGCCAUCCCUGCCUGGCUGGAUCCAAAAAACAUUGA
rnacentral:lncRNA from 1 species